rnacentral:rRNA from 1 species
AUGCAGUCGAGCGAGAAAGCGGCUUCGGCCGUGAGUACAGCGGCGAACGGGUGAGUAACACGUGGAUAACCUAUCUGGGAGUGGGGGAUAACUCGGGGAAACUUGAGCUAAUACCGCAUUCGCUUUCCGGAUCGCGGUCCGGAUCGGAAAGGUGGCCUCUUCUCGAAAGCUACCGCCCCCAGAGGGGUCCGCGCCUGAUUAGCUUGUUGGUGAGGUAAUGGCUCACCAAGGCGACGAUCAGUAGCCGGCCUGAGAGGGUGAUCGGCCACACUGGAACUGAGACACGGUCCAGACUCCUACGGGAGGCAGCAGUGGGGAAUAUUGCGCAAUGGGGGAAACCCUGACGCAGCAACGCCGCGUGGAGGAUGAAGGCUCUCGGGUCGUAAACUCCUGUCAGGUGGGAAGAAAAGGUUUCGGUUAAUACCCGGAGCUGUUGACGGUACCACCAGAGGAAGGUCCGGCUAACUCCGUGCCAGCAGCCGCGGUAAUACGGAGGGACCGAACGUUAUUCGGAAUCAUUGGGCGUAAAGGGCGCGUAGGCGGCUUAGAAAGUCAAAGGUGAAAUCCCUCGGCCCAACCGAGGAACUGCCUUUGAAACUGCUUGGCUUGAGGCCGGGAGAGGGUAGCGGAAUUCCCAGUGUAGCGG